GAUGAACGCUGGCGGCGUGCCUAAUACAUGCAAGUCGAGCGAACAGAUGAGGAGCUUGCUCCUCUGACGUUAGCGGCGGACGGGUGAGUAACACGUGGAUAACCUACCUAUAAGACUGGGAUAACUUCGGGAAACCGGAGCUAAUACCGGAUAAUAUAUUGAACCGCAUGGUUCAAUAGUGAAAGACGGUUUUGCUGUCACUUAUAGAUGGAUCCGCGCCGCAUUAGCUAGUUGGUAAGGUAACGGCUUACCAAGGCAACGAUGCGUAGCCGACCUGAGAGGGUGUUCGGCCACACUGGAACUGAGACACGGUCCAGACUCCUACGGGAGGCAGUAGUAGGGAAUCUUCCGCAAUGGGCGAAAGCCUGACGGAGCAACGCCGCGUGAGUGAUGAAGGUCUUCGGAUCGUAAAACUCUGUUAUUAGGGAAGAACAAAUGUGUAAGUAACUAUGCACGUCUUGACGGUACCUAAUCAGAAAGCCACGGCUAACUACGUG
rnacentral:rRNA from 1 species